UGCUGCUGUCAUGGCUACCCUUGGUAUGCACCUGUGUCAUAGCUUUCAUAUUCUUGCUUGAGGUUAGAUUUCUUCAUCAUAAAUAUAUUGCUGAGUAAAACCCAAAAGGAAAAAAGAAGUGUGGAAUGAUGAGUUCUUUUGCUGAUUCCUGCAAUUUUCUGAGAAGUUUUGUAGAUAGUAGGACCUAGCUAAUUAUAGUUAUAUCUAUAUUGCUAUCUGCAAAGACUCAUUGAACCAUAUUCUCUUAUAUGCACAAUAAUAUCAGGAAAGUAAUGCUUUUGAUUUUUUUCGUUAAUGGCUUUUCUGAUUUGCAUAGAUAAAAUGCUAGUAACGUUUUUAUAAUAGCUGAAGGAUAAUGAAAUUUUGUUUCCUUGACAUUGAAUUAUUUUGUUUCAUUCAUGUUCUUGACUGAAAUAACUUCUUGUUCAGAGCUCAUUUAAGAAUAACAAACGAAACAAUGUAACUGAAUUACACCAUGGGAAAGUAGAUAUUUGUGUCUACGGUGAAUUGUGGGUUUCCUAACCACUAGAAAUUCCUUCUAGGUCCCUGGAAAAUAGAUAUCAAGUUUCCCUUGGGUACCCCCCUAGUGCUGCUGGCAUCAUAGCGUUCUCACUUGGCCCUAAAAAAUUUAUGUGCAUAGUCACAUUUGAUUUCAAGUCAUGUUUGCGGAUAUGUCAUUUUCUACUGUUAAUAAAUAAAUCGUCCAUUAUA
rnacentral:misc_RNA from 1 species